UAUCGGAUUGAUACUAAGCCAUGCGAGUCAUUGCAGUUAUGCAAGGCAGGCGGCUCAGUAACGCGUAGUCAACCUACCCUAUGGACGGGAAUAACCUCGGGAAACUGAGUAUAAUGCCCGAUAGAACACUAUACCUGGAAUGGUUUGUGUUCCAAAUGAAUGUCGCCGUAGGAUGGGACUGCGGCCUAUCAGUUUGUUGGUGAGGUAAUGGCCCACCAAGACUAUUACAGGUACGGGCUCUGAGAGGAGUAGCCCGGAGAUGGGUACUGAGACACGGACCCAGGCCCUAUGGGGCGCAGCAGGCGAGAAAACUUUGCAAUGUGCGAAAGCACGACAAGGUUAAUCCGAGUGGUUUGUGCUAAACGAACCUUUUGACAGUCCUAGAAACACUGUUGAAUAAGGGGUGGGCAAGUUCUGGUGUCAGCCGCCGCGGUAAAACCAGCACCUCAAGUGGUCAGGAUGAUUAUUGGGCCUAAAGCAUCCGUAGCCGGCUCUGUAAGUUUUCGGUUAAAUCUGUACGCUCAACGUACAGGCUGCCGGGAAUACUGCAGAGCUAGGGAGUGGGAGAGGUAGACGGUACUCGGUAGGAAGGGGUAAAAUCCUUUGAUCUAUUGAUGACCACCUGUGGCGAAGGCGGUCUACCAGAACACGUCCGACGGUGAGGGAUGAAAGCUGGGGGAGCAAACCGGAUUAGAUACCCGGGUAGUCCCAGCUGUAAACUAUGCAAACUCAGUGAUGCAUUGGCUUGUGGCCGAUGCAGUGCUGCAGGGAAGCCGUUAAGUUUGCCGCCUGGGAAGUACGUACGCAAGUAUGAAACUUAAAGGAAUUGGCGGGGGAGCACCACAAGGGGUGAAGCCUGCGGUUCAAUUGGAGUC
rnacentral:rRNA from 1 species